AUUGCCCCAGUAACGGCGAGUGAAGCGGCAACAGCUCAAAUUUGAAAUCUGGCCCUUGGGUCCGAGAAGUAAUUUGUAGAGGAUGCUUUUGGCGAGGUGCCUUCCGAGUUCCCUGGAACGGGACGCCAUAGAGGGUGAGAGCCCCGUCUGGUCGGACACCGAGCCUCUGUAAAGCUCCUUCGACGAGUCGAGUAGUUUGGGAAUGCUGCUCAAAAUGGGAGGUAUAUGUCUUCUAAAGCUAAAUAUUGGCCAGAGACCGAUAGCGCACAAGUAGAGUGAUCGAAAGAUGAAAAGCACUUUGAAAAGAGGGUUAAAAAGUACGUGAAAUUGUUGAAAGGGAAGCGCCUAUGACCAGACUUGGGCCCGGUGAAUCAUCCAGCGUUCUCGCUGGUGCACUUUGCCGGGCACAGGCCAGCAUCAGUUUGGCGCGGGGGAAAAAGGCUUUGGGAAUGUGGCUCCCUCGGGAGUGUUAUAGCCCAUUGUGUAAUACCCUGCGCCGGACUGAGGUACGCGCAUUGCAAGGAUGCUGGCGUAAUGGUCAUCAGCGACCCGUCUUGAAACACGGACCAAGGAGUCGUCUUCGUAUGCGAGUGUUCGGGUGUCAAACCCCUACGCGUAAUGAAAGUGAACGCAGGUGAGAGCUUCGGCGCAUCAUCGACCGAUCCUGAUGUUCUCGGAUGGAUUUGAGUAAGAGCAUACGGGGCCGGACCCGAAAGAAGGUGAACUAUGCCUGUAUAGGGUGAAGCCAGAGGAAACUCUGGUGGAGGCUCGCAGCGGUUCUGACGUGCGAAUCGAUCGUCAAAUAUGGGCAUGGGGGCGAAAGACUAAUCGAACCUUCUAGUAGCUGGUUUCCGCCGAAGUU
rnacentral:rRNA from 1 species